UACGUAGGGAGCAAGCGUUUGUCCGGAAUCAUUGGGCGUAAAGCGCGCGUAGGUGGCCCUGUAAGUCCGUUGUGAAAGUCAAAGGCUCAACCUUUGAAAGCCGAUGGAUACUGCAGGACUAGAGUACGGAAGAGGCGAGUGGAAUUCCUGGUGUAGCGGUGGAAUGCGCAGAUAUCAGGAGGAACACCAAUAGCGAAGGCAGCUCGCUGGGACGUACUGACACUGAGGCGCGGAAAAGCGUGGGGGAGCGAACAGG
rnacentral:rRNA from 1 species